UUAUUCUAGAACUCCCUGUUUAUUUCCUAUGCAGCAAGACAGGACCUUUUCUCCACUGGACAGCCCUUCAGAUAUUCAGAUAUCCACUGGGCAUCUCCAAAGACAUCUAUUCAGCUACCCCACUGGUUUGUCAGUGGCCUUCUAAAAAUUACAUUUAGAAGAACACACAAUACUUUAGGAGUGGUUCCAUUCAGACAGACACGGAAGAGCUGCUAUAUUUACAAUGCAUGAUUACGGGUCUGUUACCCUAUGGAGCUCCAAAAAAAAAAGCUAAGACCUUUUUUUGUAGCCAAUUGGAAGUCCUGUGUUGUUCUCAUUGCUAAUAUAGAUUUCUGCAUUUACUCCUCAAGCUGGCUCAAGCAAUUUUUUAGGGGGGGGUCAAUCCAAAUUGAUCCAAAUUGAUAGUCAAUCCAAGUUACAAACACUUCCAAUAUUACUUCGUAUGUCCUUGUGUUACUGUUGAUAACAGAGACUUUUAUAUUUUAUACAAGUUUAAAAAAAAAAGAACCAUAUCCUUUGGGUAUAUCACUAGAGACUACAGAUCUUCCUUAACAUGAAUGCACUAAUCAGUAUUUACUACAUACAAAUGUUCAGUUUGGAUUCCACCAAACUGUACUAUUAAGUGAUUCUUAAUUAUUCUUUUGUUUGCAGUGACUUAGGAGGAGAGAAAGAGGUAAGUAGCUCCCGACACCUAUGAACUGGCCUGACACAGCUAGGCUUCAAGAGCUGGUGGGUGCUGACUCCAGCUCACAGGUAGGAAACAGUGCUCUUCUGUUGGACACAAUGAAUCUCACAAAUCACCAACAUAGGACAAGGGCACUAAGUGACUAUGAUGAAGUGAGG